rnacentral:misc_RNA from 1 species
UGGUUGGAUCAGGGUUUAAAUGAAAUGUAUUCAUGUCCCACUUGUCGAAAGCCGCUUUUUGUAGGCAGACCUGACAAUGAAGCAAAUCGUCAUGGUGGAGACAUUUUAUCUGACGAGCAGCUUGCUCGUCAAAUAAGUGAAGAGCUUGAUCAACAAACCACAUCUACUCUAUCUGCUGGAGUUUUACCAAAUCAGACUCAUAACUCUAUAGAAGGCCGCCCCUGGAGAAGCGCAGGUUCGGAUUCAAGUUGGCUGCACACCUGGCCUGGCCAGAGUGUAGACGGAGCUGGUCCAUCUACUGCCAUGAGAUCAGUAGGAAUGAUGAUGAGACAUCUUGCAUCUGUAGGAGAAACCUACGCUCAGACUGCCCUUGAAGAUGCUGCUUGGAGCCUGUGGCCCAUGAAUCACUCUCAAGCUGUUGCAUCUGGAUCUACUGUCACUCCUAGUUUUGGAAGAUCAGCUGGAGGUUCUGGUGGUUUACACAUGAGGACUGCCUCACGCUCUGCAAGUGACAACAUGGUAAACAUGCUUGCCAUGGCUGAGACAGUACGGGAGGUUUUGCCUCACAUUCCAGAUGAGUUGAUUCUUCAGGACUUGCAGCGAACAAAUUCUGU